rnacentral:rRNA from 1 species
GCCUACGGGGCGCAGCAGUGAGGAAUAUUGGUCAAUGGGCGGAAGCCUGAACCAGCCAAGUCGCGUGAGGGAAGAAGGCCCUGCGGGUCGCAGACCUCUUUGGACGGGGAGCAAGGCCGCCGACGUGUCGGCGGAAGGAGAGUACCCGUAGAACAAGCAUCGGCUAACUCCGUGCCAGCAGCCGCGGUAAUACGGAGGAUGCGAGCGUUAUCCGGAUUUAUUGGGUUUAAAGGGUGCGCAGGCGGCGAGUUAAGUCAGCGGUAAAAUUUCGGGGCUCAACCCCGACGAGCCGUUGAAACUGGCUU